CAUACUUCCGCUAAGUUUCACCGGUUGUGUUGAACUUUCAGCUAAUUUCAACAGCUGUUUGAGCGAAAAUGGUUGAAAUAGGAUCAGGGCCGAUUAAGGAGAGCAUAGAUAACACGGUGUUUAUUAUACCUGGAUUAAUUAUAGGAUUUCUUGUCAUUUUCUUCACAUAUAAACUUGUUAAAAGUUUACGAGAGAAAGAACGACUGAAAGAAGAAAAGAAGAAGCUGAAACAGCAAAGGAAAGAAAAAGAAAAUGCAAAAAAGAUAAAGAAGAAAUAGACAUAAAUAAUGCGUUUGUGAAUGUACAUGUAUUGUAACAAAGUUUAUUUAGUAUUUAAGACUUGCGUCCCUGAAAAUUGUCAGGAGUUUUGUUGAAAUGGUUAUCUGUUAGUUUUGAACUUGGUGUAGAGACAAGAUGAACGUGAGGGUAAUGAUGGCAAUAUCUUAAGGUGAAGGAAUAUAUUUUACAGUGAUACACAAAUUUAUAUGAAAAAUAUGGAAAGAUCAGAUACUAGUACAUGUCACAGGGUCUUGCAGUAACAGUAGUCACAAGGUGCAUUAAUUAGAAAUAAGACACCAAAAAAAAUCAAAAUUGGAAAAAAACUAAUACUUGCCACCAGCUCUUCAAGAGAUAUCCAGACUAACAGAUGAAUUUGGACCAAUGACAGAAAAGAAAUUUUGGAAUGCAGCUUUGAAUAUAUAGUUUUGAAGCCAUAAGUAUUGAAGACAGAAAUACAAUUAUAAAUAAUAUAUAUUGUUAGUUUUCAGGUUUUUUAAUACAUGGUUAUGAUCAUUCCAGAUUUUUUAAUGUCAUAAUAUACAUGUAUAUUUGGUUUGAACGUUUGAUGUGCAUCUAUAUUACUUAGAAUAUAAAAAAUUAAAUGCA